CUACGGGUGGCAGCAGUGGGGAAUAUUGCACAAUGGGCGCAAGCCUGAUGCAGCCAUGCCGCGUGUAUGAAGAAGGCCUUCGGGUUGUAAAGUACUUUCAGCGGGGAGGAAGGGAGUAAAGUUAAUACCUUUGCUCAUUGACGUUACCCGCAGAAGAAGCACCGGCUAACUCCGUGCCAGCAGCCGCGGUAAUACGGAGGGUGCAAGCGUUAAUCGGAAUUACUGGGCGGAAAGCGCACGCAGGCGGUUUGUUAAGUCAGAUGUGAAAUCCCCGGGCUCAACCUGGGAACUGCAUCUGAUACGGGCAAGCUUGAGUCUCGUAGAGGGGGGUAGAAUUCCAGGUGUAGCGGUGAAAUGCGUAGAGAUCUGGAGGAAUACCGGUGGCGAAGGCGGCCCCCUGGACGAAGACUGACGCUCAGGUGCGAAAGCGUGGGGAGCAAACAGGAUUAGAUACCCUAGUAGUC
rnacentral:rRNA from 1 species